AUUGAACGCUGGCGGCAUGCUUUACACAUGCAAGUCGAACGGUAACAGGCCGCAAGGUGCUGACGAGUGGCGAACGGGUGAGUAAUGCAUCGGAACGUGCCCAGUCGUGGGGGAUAACGCAGCGAAAGCUGUGCUAAUACCGCAUACGAUCUAUGGAUGAAAGCGGGGGACCGUAAGGCCUCGCGCGAUUGGAGCGGCCGAUGUCAGAGUAGGUAGUUGGUGGGGUAAAGGCCCACCAAGCCAACGAUCUGUAGCUGGUCUGAGAGGACGACCAGCCACACUGGGACGGAGACACGGCCCAGACUCCUACGGGAGGCAGCAGUGUGGAAUUUUGGACAAUGGGCGCAAGCCUGAUCCAGCAAUGCCGCGUGCAGGAAGAAGGCCUUCGGGUUGUAAACUGCUUUUGUACGGAACGAAACGGCUCUGGUUAAUACCCGGGGCUAAUGACGGUACCGUAAGAAUAAGCACCGGCUAACUACGUGCCAGCCGCCGCGGUAAAAC
rnacentral:rRNA from 1 species